rnacentral:rRNA from 1 species
GAUGAACGCUAGCGACAGGCCUAACACAUGCAAGUCGAGGGGCGAUCGGGACGUAGCAAUACGUUGCCGGCGACCGGCGGAUGGGUGAGUAACGCGUAUGCAACCUACCCGUAGCAGGGGGAGUAGCCCGUUGAAAGACGGAUUAAUACCCCGUAACACAGGGGCGUCCGCAUGGAGAUUAUUGUUAAAGGGUCAUUUCUUUUAGAGGUGGUCCGGCUACGGAUGGGCAUGCGUUCCAUUAGGUAGUUGGUGUAGGUAACGGCUCACCAAGCCGACGAUGGAUAGGGGAACUGAGAGGUUGGUCCCCCCACACUGGUACUGAGACACGGACCAGACUCCUACGGGAGGCAGCAGUUGGGAAUCUUAGGCAAUGGACGAAAGUCUGACCUAGCGACGCCGCGUGAGGGAAGAAGGCCUUCGGGUUGUAAACCUCUGUCAUGGGGGAAGAAGUAAGUGACGGUACCCCAAGAGGAAGCCCCUGCUAACUACGUG